CUCUGUCUCAAAAAUAAAAACGUUAAAAAAAAUUUUUUUUAAAGGAGUUAACUGUGCAGGCGUAGCAUCCUAGCUGGGUCCUGGCCGAGGUGUCUUCUCGAACAGAUGUGAGUUAGAGGCCCAGUCAGCCUUCUCUUUCCCUUCCUUUUACUUUUUUCUUGGCCAUUCCUUCUUUCUCUUUCUCUCAUUUUCUUCCUUCCUUCUCUCUCGCUUCCCAUCUCCCCCUUUCCCUCCAGGUCCCACUCUCUUGGACAGCAGGAUCCUGGUGAGUUGGUUUUUUUUUUUUUUUUUUUUUUCAUCAUCUCAUCUGGUAAAAUAUGGAUCAUUCACCUUCCAUUCUUGGGGCUAUUUUCUAAGCGUUUCUUCCACGUAGCUACACAACCUUCUUCCUUGUUAAUGGCUACGUGAUGUGCCACCAAGUACUCUCAUUUGCAUAACGGGCUCCCUGUUGUGGAACACUAGGUAGUUUCGAGGUUUUGUAUCCUUACAGGUGAAAGUAUUCGUUUUUUCUGGUCUGCCGUGUGUGGGGCUCGUGGGUCCAAGUUAAGUGGGGGCCUGGGAGGCACGAGGUAGAUGAUUGGCAUGGGGUGGUAGUUCGUCCAGGAGCUGCUUCCUGCCUGCCCUCAUCCCCAGGGCAGCUCUGAGUAUACAGCAGGUGCCUCAUGAAUGCUGCCUGAGGAUGCCUCUCGGCCUCUAUUCCUGCACCUGGCAUACUGCCUCAGUGCGCUCUCCAUUGAAGCGUCCUCUUUCCCACCUGGCCGUGACCUUCCAUAGCCUUUUUAUCUCUAUGUCCCCCGUGCCUGGCACCAGGAAGCCCCUCAGGAAUGGAAGGGAAGGAAACAAAGUAAAGGAAGAGGAAGCCAGAGAAUGCUCACUUACUCUGGCCACCCCUCAUUAAUAGGGCCUGGGAUUGCCGUGGGACAUUAGUGACAGAACAUGUUGACAUUGUGUAAUUUAUUAGCCUGAACUAUACAAAUUAUACCUUCCCCCAGGAUGCCCGCGACGAGAAGCUGCUUUUCAUGAGUUUAUCCUGGGGACUCGAAUAAAUAAGCAGAGAAACAAAAAAACCUCAUGAAUUUUUUAAAGAGCUUAUUGGAAUCAGGAGAAAACCUGGUGUUCCGGGUGCAGAAUUUCCUGGAUCUGUUGGGGACGGCUCUGUGGGUUGGGUUUAACCAUCUCCCUUGUCUUUUAUCCUGGGACCGGUGCUCACCUAAGACAUGCUCUUCUGAAGGCAGGGAACAGAAAUUUCAAGAGAGGCGAGUGAAAACUCAGGCCCCACCUAAGGCUUGAGCUCAGAACUGGCCCACAGUUAUCUCAAAAUAUCCCAUCGGCCAAAGCAAGUCACACGGCCCAGCCCAAUAGCACGGGUGGAGAAAGGCGGAAGAAUUGUGUCACUCCCACAGCUGCCAGGAUUCCUAGCGUGGCUGCUGGCCAUAUGAUUCCACCACCUACCCAACACUGCCUUCCGUAUUUCGCACAGAAGUCUGUCUCCAAUCACAGAGCAUCUUAGAGAUUGGUGACUGUCCAUAGGACACUGUAUGUUUUGUAUCAGUGGGGUUCGGACGAGGCAGUCUCUAGCUGAAUUUCCGGGCCAAGAUUAAUUUGCUGCUGGAAUGUGAAGACAGCCACCCUCACACCCCCACCGCGGGUCCAGCGUGAGGGAAAAUAACGAGACAGCCCCCGUGUUGGAUAAUGACCGCCGAAAUUCCAAUACUCAGGGCCCAACAUUGCCCGUUCAGUUUCCUCUGGCUGAAAUUCUUGGUUGUUCCGCUGCUAAAACCAGGGUGGCUACUUACUCUGGGCACCAAUGGCUGUUCUUAGCCAUACUGAUAAACAAGGCUUCCAAAAUCAUCUCAAUACCAGGAACAGUUCAUUUAAAACAGAAGCAGCAACACCACCAAUGACAAAAUCGACAGGUCAGUCAUGUGGCGUCCACCCUCGCCCAGGGGAGCCUGGUGAUGAGUUGAGGAGUAUUUUUGGACACGGACAACAGCAGGCCUGGCCCAGAUCCACUCAUUCCUUCAGUAGAGCUUCCCAGGGAGUUCCAGUUAUUUCCCAAUUUGUUCCAGCCACACCACCUUUUGUGGCUUCGUUUGGGCAUUGAGGUCAUCGAGAGAUGAUUGACUUGGGCAAAGCAGAGAGUACGGGGAGGAAAGAUUCUUCACUUACUCACCCACUCCCUAAUUGCUGAGUGUCUUCAGGGUCCUGAGCUGGGGGUUCAAAGCUGAAGGAAGCAGAAGGUCCACUGUGCUGGCCGUUUAGCGCGGCAGAUCCUCCUUCCACGUAUCUUUUUUAGGGCAGGUGGUUGGCUUCCCAUCAGCCCCCGCGCGGCAGAUGAUUGGUUCAAGCUAAUCCCGGCCGUACGAUUCUCUUGCGGAUAAUUGGUUGAGGAGUUAGCAUGUGACCCAGUUCUGCCCAAUGAGAAGUGAGGGAAAAAUCUGUCCGUGGCCUUUGAGAAACUUUCCCUCACGACCAAGGAGGAGCUGGAGGAAGGGGUGGGUGCUGCUCCCCAGCGUUUGCAGUAUGUGCAGGUGUGACAGCCGCACUUUUGACAGCCAUCUUGCCACGUGCCGCAAGGACACAGAGAGACAGAGCAUGAGCGGGGGAGGAGCACAGAGAGAGGGCGACACAGAAUCCGAAGCAGGCUCCAGGCUCUGAGCUGUCAGCACAGAGCCCGACGCGGGGCUCAAACUCACGAACCGCGAGACCAUGACCUGAGCCGAAGUCGGCCGCCCAACCGACUGAGCCACCCAGGCGCCCCGAGCUGCCAAGUCUUUAAGUGCAAAGGCCACUCUAUCCUUGGACUUCCCACUCUGCGGGCGGCUGCCAUUAAGAAGUGGAAUCUGUUUCCUUAAAAACCCUUGAACCUGGGCUAGCCCUGGCACUUGUUUUGACCUCCAGCAUAUGGCAGAAGUGGAUAUGGUGGCUCCCAGCACGGGGGUCACGAGGACUGGGAUACUUCCCACCCUCUGUUUUGGAAUCUUGACCGACCACCGUGAGGACCAGCCUGAGCUAGACUUCUAGAGGAUGGGACACCCCCGGAUGACCCCCAAGUACGUAAGAAAGCUCAACCCAGCCCAGCCAGCGGAGCCACCGACACGACUCCAGCUGUCCUCGGACCCAUCAGUGAGCCCGGCUGGGGCCAGAAGAACCUCCAGCUGACCUGCAGACACCGAUGACAGUGGGAAACCACUUGGGUUCCUGAUGGAUUCAGUGCUCUCCAAAUGUUCUGCCGUAUCAGCCAUGGAAAUGGGCUUUGUCUUGUCCAGGAGUCAUCACUUGAUGAAAUGAACAGGCACUCAACCUCCCGAAGCCAAAGCUCUUACGGCUGAGACCCAGGCUCGCACAAGAAACUACUGCCCUCUGAGAGAAUGAUGAGUGCACGGGAGUAUGGGCCAGACAUUGACAGCAGCAGCCACAGAGGGUCUGAGGGUCUCCUCCCCGCACCAUGAAUGCAGUCCCAGUGGAGAACAUCUCUGAUCUCCGGAAAAGCCCUGCCCAUAGGUGGGGAGAGAAUGAACUUUGGAACCACGCGUCCUGGGCUCAAAUCCCAGCUCUUGGAGGCUCACCGUCUACUUUCUUUGCUGCCGAAGACGGUUUACACCCAGCAAAGGGAGAUCUCAGAAAAGGCUGAGCCUGAGUGGAGGGUGUGGAGGUGGCCUGGUUAUUCUUAGCAAGGAACGAAGGAAGAGAGGCAAAAGAUGCUUUGGGCUGCCAGGGCCACAUAGCACCUUUCAGAGGGAGCAGCCAGACCACAGUCCUUCCUGGCUCGCCAAAUUUGGUUGGAAAUUCUUUCCACCCCAGGCAGCGGGGAAUUCAGGGAAUUCGGGGUGGGCCUGCCAGGGCCUUCAGAGACCCUUAAAUAAAAUUUCUCAGCUCUGGUGUCAGAACAGUGGUCAGACGUGAUGAGGGCUGUUCGAACAGCCGGGCCUGGCAAGCAGGACCCCGGAGGCUGGGCUCCUGGCCCAUCUGUAGUUUUCCUUCCCAUCUGAAAGCUUUGAUUCAUGCAAGGGCUGGCCCAAGGAGGGUGAGGGGAACUGAAAAGAUACGUGUCCUCAGAACCAAGGAAGAGGGAAGGACAUUGCCACCACCUUGCUGACGCCCCGGCUUUCAAAGGUUCAGGAAGAGCUGAAUGGCAUUGAGACCAUUGGCUUUUUGGUCCAAACUGUUGUUGCCCUCCAGGAGAGAACAAAAGUCCUUUUCUAGGGCACAGACUCUGUGGGUAAGACAGAGGGUAAGGGGUAAGAGCACAGCCUCUGGACUCAAAAGAGUCCCAUUUCUGUCACUAAGAAGCUGUGUAGCACUGGACAGGUCAUUUAACAUGUAAAAAUUAAUUAAAAGGGAACCUCACUAAAAGGGAGUCAGGAGGCCAGAAGGGAGUCUGAGGGGAGGGGGAGAGUAUCACUCAAAUACCAAUUUUAAGAAGAAUUGUCAAUUACAGACUCCCAACAGAAUUCAGGAAAUUAUCAUCAAUUACAGGCCCCAACAGGAAGAGAUGUACAUUACAUCCCCUGUAAGAAAUCAACUAUCCCAGCAACUCAGCUAGUGAGAAACUGUCCCGAACUCUUGCUUUGUUUAAGGGCCUUUCAUGCAAAACAACCCCACUAACUUCCUCUUUCUCCAUAAAGCGUUUCUUUCCUUUGUUUGUUGCACUUGCCCCUGGUUUUACUGUUUUGCAACUCUCUGCUAUUCCCGAAUAAACCCAUUUUGCUGAUAAGAUAACCUCCGUUCUUCAGAUGAACAGAUGUUGCCGUGCCUCAGUUUCCUCAACCAGUCAUCCCUACAUUAUGGGGUCGCUGUGAGGAUUAAAUGAACAUUCAGUUCUUGGAGCAGAGCCUGGUUUACCCAAAGUCGUUGGUAGAUAGUAACCCACGAGUCUGGCACAGGAAAGUAUUCCAUUAAUAGCAACUAUCCUGCGUACUGGCUGCUUUUCCAUCUGUCCAGUCUGUCGUAGAGUGUUUAAGGCUUGCAGACGUGAGGUGGCUCAGUCAGUUGAGUGUCCGACUUCAGCUCAGGUCAUGAUCUCCCAGUUCGUGAGUUCGAGCCCCACGUCAGGCUCUGUGCCGACAGCUCAGAGCCUGGAGCCUGCUUCGGAUUCUGUGUCUCCCUCUCUCUCUCUGCC